GACGAACGCUGGCGGCGUGCUUAACACAUGCAAGUCGAACGGAAAGGCCCUGCUUUUGUGGGGUGCUCGAGUGGCGAACGGGUGAGUAUCACGUGAGUAACCUGCCCUUGACUUUGGGAUAACUUCAGGAAACUGGGGCUAAUACCGGAUAGGAGCUCCUGCUGCAUGGUGGGGGUUGGAAAGUUUCGGCGGUUGGGGAUGGACUCGCGGCUUAUCAGCUUGUUGGUGGGGUAGUGGCUUACCAAGGCUUUGACGGGUAGCCGGCCUGAGAGGGUGACCGGCCACAUUGGGACUGAGGUACGGCCCAGACUCCUACGGGAGGCAGCAGUGGGAAAUAUUGCACAAUGGGCGGAAGCCUGAUGCAGCAACGCCGCGUGCGGGAUGACGGCCUUCGGGUUGUAAACCGCUUUCGCCUGUGACGAAGCGUGAGUGACGGUAAUGGGUAAAGAAGCAACGGCUAACUACGUG
rnacentral:rRNA from 1 species